rnacentral:rRNA from 1 species
GAUGAACGCUGGCGGCGUGCCUAAUACAUGCAAGUCGAGCGAACAGACGAGGAGCUUGCUCCUUCGACGUUAGCGGCGGACGGGUGAGUAACACGUAGGUAACCUACCUAUAAGACUGGGAUAACUUCGGGAAGCCGGAGCUAAUACCGGAUAAUAUUUCGAACCGCAUGGUUCGAUAGUGAAAGAUGGCAUUGCUAUCACUUAUAGAUGGACCUGCGCCGUAUUAGCUAGUUGGUAAGGUAACGGCUUACCAAGGCAACGAUACGUAGCCGACCUGAGAGGGUGAUCGGCCACACUGGAACUGAGACACGGUCCAGACUCCUACGGGAGGCAGCAGUAGGGAAUCAUCCGCAAUGGGCGAAAGCCUGACGGAGCAACGCCGCGUGAGUGAUGAAGGUCUUCGGAUCGUAAAACUCUGUUAUUAGGGAAGAACAAACGUGUAAGUAACUGUGCACGUCUUGACGGUACCUAAUCAGAAAGCCACGGCUAACUACGUG